rnacentral:rRNA from 1 species
CAUAGCCUAACGGCUGAACCAGCAACUUGGAGGAAUGUAUAGCUAAUGCUAAAUGUAUUUUGUAAUAAUACAGAUUCGAUUUAUUCGUAUAAAGUUCUAGAUAGAAUUAUGAUAAUGACAUUGUCUAUCUAUAAGUCUUGGCCAAAUUACGUGCCAGCAGUCGCGGUAAGACGUAAAAGACUAGUGUUAUUCAUCUUUAAUAGGUUUAAAGCGUACCUAGACGGUAAAUCAAGCCUUAACCGGGACUAAUUUAACUAGAGUUAGAUGUAAGGGUGCAUUAACGUACUGUUGAGUGUAGAGAUGAAAUUCUUUUAUACCAGAUUAUUGGCACGGGUUUAGGCGAAAGCAUCACCUUAUGUAAUAACUGACGUUGAGGGACGAAGGCUUUGUGUCGCGAACAGGAUUAGGUACCCCAGUAGUCUAAGCAGAAAAUGAUGAGUGUCAUAGGUUAAAUAUUAUUUGGUCUAUAAAUGAAAGUGUAAGCAUUCCACCUCAAGAGUAAUUUGGCAACAUUGGAAUUGAAAUCAUUAGACCGUUUCUGAAACCAGUAGUGAAGUAUGUUGUUUAAUUUGAUAAUACACAAAAAACCUUACCACAAUUUGAAUAUUUUACAAGUGUUGCACGGCUGUCUUCAGUUAAUGUCGUGAGAUUAUGGUUAGUUCCAUUAAAUUAACGUAAACCCUUACUUUAUUUUAUAAAAUAUAAAGUUGUUCGCCGCUAGAUUGGUUAGAUAAAAGGGACUAAGACAAGUCAUCAUGGCCUUAAUAUUGU